GACGAACGCUGGCGGCGUGCCUAAUACAUGCAAGUAGAACGCUGAAGAGAGGAGCUUGCUCUUCUUGGAUGAGUUGCGAACGGGUGAGUAACGCGUAGGUAACCUGCCUUGUAGCGGGGGAUAACUAUUGGAAACGAUAGCUAAUACCGCAUAACAAUUGAAGACACAUGUCAUUAAUUUGAAAGGCGCAAUUGCUCCACUACAAGAUGGACCUGCGUUGUAUUAGCUAGUAGGUGAGGUAAUGGGCCACCUAGGCGACGAUACCUAGCCGGCCUGGGGGGGUGAUCGGCCGACCUGGGACUGAGACACGGUCCAGGCUCCUACGGGAGGCAGCAGUAGGGAAACUUCGGCAAUGGGGGCAACCCCUACCGGGCAACGGCGCGGGAGGGAAUGAGGUUUUCGGAUCGUAAAGCUCUGGUGUAAGUCAAGAACGAGUGUGGGAGUGGAAAGUGCACACUGUGACGGUAGCUUACCAGAAAGGGACGGCUAACUACGUG
rnacentral:rRNA from 1 species